rnacentral:rRNA from 1 species
AUGGCUCAGGAUGAACGCUAGCUACAGGCUUAACACAUGCAAGUCGAGGGGCAGCAUUGGAGUAGCAAUACUCAGAUGGCGACCGGCGCACGGGUGAGUAACACGUAUCCAACCUGCCGCUUACUCGGGGAUAGCCUUUCGAAAGAAAGAUUAAUACCCGAUGGUAUAAAGAGUUCGCAUGUUCUCUUUAUUAAAGAAUUUCGGUAAGCGAUGGGGAUGCGUUCCAUUAGAUAGUUGGCGGGGUAACGGCCCACCAAGUCUACGAUGGAUAGGGGUUCUGAGAGGAAGGUCCCCCACAUUGGAACUGAGACACGGUCCAAACUCCUACGGGAGGCAGCAGUGAGGAAUAUUGGUCAAUGGACGAGAGUCUGAACCAGCCAAAAGUAGCGUGAAGGAUGACUGCCCUAUGGGUUGUAAACUUCUUUUAUAAGGGAAUAAAGUGAGGGACGUGUCCCUUUUUGUAUGUACCUUAUGAAUAAGGAUCGGCUAACUCCGUGCCAGCCGCGGC